rnacentral:tRNA from 1 species
AGCCCCGUGGUGAAGAAACACGUUGGAUUGCAAAUCCAGAGACGUAGAGGAGACUCUGCCGGGGCUU